rnacentral:rRNA from 1 species
UGGGGAAUAUUGGACAAUGGGGGCAACCCUGAUCCAGCAAUUCUGUGUGCACGAUGAAGGUUUUCGGAUUGUAAAGUGCUUUCAGCAGGGAAGAAAAAAAUGACGGUACCUGCAGAAGAAGCGACGGCUAAAUACGUGCCAGCAGCCGCGGUAAUACGUAUGUCGCAAGCGUUAUCCGGAAUUAUUGGGCAUAAAGGGCAUCUAGGCGGCCAGAUAAGUCUGGGGUGAAAACUUGCGGCUCAACCGCAAGCCUGCCCUGGAAACUAUGUGGCUAGAGUACUGGAGAGGUGGACGGAACUGCACGAGUAGAGGUGAAAUUCGUAGAUAUGUGCAGGAAUGCCGAUGAUGAAGAUAGUUCACUGGACGGUAACUGACGCUGAAGUGCGAAAGCUAGGGGAGCAAACA